AAGCGCGCGUAGGUGGUUUUUUAAGUUGGAUGUGAAAGCCCUGGGCUCAACCUAGGAACUGCAUCCAAAACUAGAUGACUAGAGUACGAAAGAGGGAAGUAGAAUUCACAGUGUAGCGGUGGAAUGCGUAGAUAUUGUGAAGAAUACCAAUGGCGAAGGCAGCUUCCUGGUUCUGUACUGACACUGAGGUGCGAAAGCGUGGGUAGCGAACAGGAUUAGAUACCCUGGUAGUCCACGCCGUAAACGAUGACAACUAGCUGUUGGGAGACAAGAUCUCUCAGUGGCGCAGCUAACGCUUUAAGUUGUCCGCCUGGGGAGUACGGCCGCAAGGUUAAAACUCAAAUGAAUUGACGGGGACCCGCACAAGCGGUGGAGCAUGUGGUUUAAUUCGAUGCAACGCGAAAAACCUUACCUACUCUUGACAUACUUGGAAGCUCUUGUAAUGAGAGUGUGCUUUUAGAGCCAAGAUACAGGUGCUGCAUGGCUGUCGUCAGCUCGUGUCGUGAGAUGUUGGGUUAAGUCCCAUAACGAGCGCAACCCUUACCCUUAUUUGCCAGCGGUUCGGCCGGGAACUAUAAGGGGACUGCCGGUGACAAACCGGAGGAAGGUGAGGACGACGUCAAGUCAUCAUGGCCCUUACGAGUAGGGCUACACACGUGCUACAAUGGGGAAUACAGACGGACGCUAAAGCGUGAGCUGGUGCUAAUCCUAAAAAAUUUCUCGUAGUCCGGAUUGCAGUCUGCAACUCGACUGCAUGAAGUCGGAAUCGCUAGUAAUCGCGAAUCAGCAUGUCGCGGUGAAUACGUUCUCGGGUCUUGUACACACCGCCCGUCACACCAUGGAAGUGUGUUGCACCAGAAGUAGGUAGUCUAACCUUCGGGGAGGCGCUUACCACGGUGUGAUCCAUGACUGGGGUGAAGUCGUAACAAGGUAGCCGUA
rnacentral:rRNA from 1 species